rnacentral:rRNA from 1 species
ACAAUGGGGAAUUUGCCAAAUGGGGCAAGCCUGAUGCAGCCAUGCCGCGGUAUGAAGAAGCCUUCGGGUUGUAAAGUACUUUCAGCAGUGAGGAAGGUGGGUAUGUUAAUAGCAUACACAUUUGACGUUAGCUGCAGAAGAAGCACCGGCUAAUUCCGUGCCAGCAGCCGCGGUAAUACGGAGGGUGCGAGCGUUAAUCGGAAUUACUGGGCGUAAAGCGCAUGCAGGUGGUUUGUUAAGUCAGAUGUGAAAGCCCGGGGCUCAACCUCGGAAUUGCAUUUGAAACUGGCAAACUAGAGUACUGUAGAGGGGGGUAGAAUUUCAGGUGUAGCGGUGAAAUGCGUAGAGAUCUGAAGGAAUACCGGUGGCGAAGGCGGCCCCCUGGACAGAUACUGACACUCAGAUGCGAAAGCGUGGGGAGCAAACAGGAUUAGAUACCCUGGUAGUCCACGCCGUAAACGAUGUCUACUUGGAGGUUGUGACCUUGAGCCGUGGCUUUCGGAGCUAACGCGUUAAGUAGACCGCCUGGGGAGUACGGUCGCAAGAUUAAAACUCAAAUGAAUUGACGGGGGCCCGCACAAGCGGUGGAGCAUGUGGUUUAAUUCGAUGCAACGCGAAGAACCUUACCUACUCUUGACAUCUACAGAAGCCAGCGGAGACGCAGGUGUGCCUUCGGGAACUGUAAGACAGGUGCUGCAUGGCUGUCGUCAGCUCGUGUUGUGAAAUGUUGGGUUAAGUCCCGCAACGAGCGCAACCCUUAUCCUUGUUUGCCAGCACUUCGGGUGGGAACUCCAGGGAGACUGCCGGUGAUAAACCGGAGGAAGGUGGGGACGACGUCAAGUCAUCAUGGCCCUUACGAGUAGGGCUACACACGUGCUACAAUGGCGCAUACAGAGGGCGGCCAACUUGCGAAAGUGAGCGAAUCCCAAAAAGUGCGUCGUAGUCCGGAUUGGAGUCUGCGACUCGACUCCAUGAAGUCGGAAUCGCUAGUAAUCGUGGAUCAGAAUGCCACGGUGAAUACGUUCCCGGGCCUUGUACACACCGCCCGUCACACCAUGGGAGUGGGCUGCAAAAGAAGUGGGUAGUUUAACCUUCGGGAGGACGCUCACCACUUUGUGGUUCAUGACUGGGGUGAAGUCGUAACAAGGUAACCG